rnacentral:rRNA from 1 species
UACGUAGGGGCCUAGCGUUGUCCGGAUUUAUUGGGCGUAAAGGAUGCGUAGGCGGAUAUUUAAGUGGGAUGUGAAAUACCCGGGCUCAACCUGGGUGCUGCAUUCCAAACUGGAUAUCUAGAGUGCGGGAGAGGAAAGUGGAAUUCCUAGUGUAGCGGUGAAAUGCGUAGAGAUUAGGAAGAACACCAGUGGCGAAGGCGACUUUCUGGACCGUAACUGACGCUGAGGCAUGAAAGCGUGGGGAGCAAACAGG